rnacentral:tRNA from 1 species
UCCCUCGUAGCUCAGUCGGUAAAGAAUCUGCCUGCAGUGCAGAAGACCUGGGUUCAAUUCCUGGGUAGGGAA